UUUUUUGAACCCCAUCAGAGGUACAUGAAUGAGAGCAGCAGGGGAGAAAUACACCACCAAUUCCAAACAUAGGAGGGAAUAGGGGAACAGGCUCACCAAGUAAGGGAGGUGUUCUGCACAUUUUUCAGUUCUCCAUAGGGCAGCGUCUAUUGGCAGGACAGGAUGGUGUAAUGUCAGUCCUUGUUCCCUAACCUAUAGCCUAUCCGUGCCAAAAAAAAAAAAAAACCCUCUACAUAAUGUUUAGAUCCUGUCUUUUUGUGGACAGGUGUCGUCAAAAUUGGCCCGCGUAACAAGCAAGCUUUAAGGUGGGAACGGUUAUGCAGUUCCUCGUCAGUAGGUCCUACAAGUAUUGUUCAUUAUGGGAAAGAUCAGCUCAACGGGAGCAUUUGUUCCAGGCAGACACAAGGCAAACUGACAAAUUAUGCAUAUUUUUUUUUGUACGGACUGUCCCUGGAUCUGAAAUACACGAACAUCUCCGCCCAGCGCUCCUCCACUGGUUUUACGUCACCAUUCCUGUUGUGUAUGCCCUCACAUAUUGUUGAAAUCAUAUGCUGGAGGCUUUAAUCUUUCUAUGUGGUUUUUAGUGAAUGAUCGGGCUAUGAUAAAACCACGUUGGCUUUGUAAUCGCAGACAACAAGGGACAUUUCAUAAUGGUUGGUGGAAAACUUGGGACACGCAACUUAAAAUCCGGACUGUCCCAUCCCAUCUGGUGACCUGACGUCUGGUCACCCUGGGCUAUUAGUGCAUAGUGCUAAUCGCUAGUUCUAUGACUGCUGGAAGUGUUGAUAAAUUACAAGAUUACUCACAAGAUUGCUCACUACACACACAGGGACGCAAGAUCACACGGGACUUCCUUUUCACCAACUUGACAUCAAACAGUAGUAACACACACACACACACACACACACACACACACACACACACACACACACACACACACACACACACACACACACACACACACACACACACACACACACACACACACACACACACACACACACACACACACACACACACACACACACACACACACACACACACACACGUAGUUUUCUUAAUUAGUUAAUUGGUUGCAUCUGGUGCGUUUUACUUAAAAAGGAACCGGACAGUACGGAGUUCUCCACUGUUUGGCAUUGUAGCGUCUCCCAAACGCGUUUCACAGGUUAAAGACUUUUUGAAGUAAAGAGGAGCAUCUCAUCUGAACCUGAUGUCUAUCAUGGAUAUUUAACUGCAGUUCUGUGAGUAUCCCAACUUGACCAUGAAGAUGAACUGCAAACUGUAAGUCAUUAGUUUCUCAUUACUCUUGGGCACAUUGAUGUAUUUUGGCUUCCUGGUGAGUUAACCUGUUAGCUGAAGGUUGAUCUGAGUAUUAAGGAUGUUUCAUUGGUUCAUGGGUUACUUAGGUGUUUGGUUUAUGUUGGUUUUAAUGUUUUUUUAUAAUGGUCACAGGCUCCAAGUUAUUGUUGUAAGCUGGUGUAAUGGGUUGGGUUCUGAUAUCUUCAGUCUUCUUUCCAGCUACUCUCCUGAGCUCUGCAUCUUCAUCACAUGAGUAUUGCUUUAUUUAUGAGGGUGUGGUCUGAGUGAGCAGAGGUGCAUACUGGGAUACAGAGUUGUCUGAAGUCUACAGGUCUGUAGACACGCCCCCGCAGGGGAAACCGUGUGUUUGAGAAACGGUCGUGACAUCAGUUACAUGGACUAGAAUGUUCUUUAAGAUGGAGACAGGGUUUCAGAAGGAGAAACACCAGGGGGAGAUGAGGGGGCUCCUCAUCUCAACGACUAAAACACAACUUCAGUCUGACACAGAGAACCAUGGAACACAGUCAACCGUCCCCUCCAGGCAUCGUGACUCCUCAGGAACAGUUUCAUUUCCAAGAAGGUCUUAUUUGGGGCCAUUCCAAGAUGGAUCCUGCUCCUCAAGAGCCACCCCCCUCCACUGGGUGGUCUUAUGAACAGAUGACCUCCUUCCUGUCCUCAGGCUGACUAAAGCUCCACCGCUUGCUGUGAAGGCCCCUCAUUCAGGAAUCCACUGGACUACAAAGACAUGACUUCAGAGACGUUGAAUCAACCUGGGACACAUUUGGAGACGCCAAGCAUAAUCCAUCACCAAUGUGGGACGCCACUGAAGAAUGUUGUACAUAAUUUACGUCUCUGGAGACAUUGGUUGUUCUGUUCUGGGUGUCCUGGCAAGAGAGCUAGGGGUGGAUGAUGGAAUGUUCUUUGGGAUGAGGUUUUUACCCUGCAUGAUUGUUUUGCCUUUUAUGGCUCAGUGGUGUGUGUUGGUUUGACAUGAGGUGGAUGAUUUUUGUGUGUGUGUCACUCACACCUGGCAUGGGGUUCUGUGUGUGUCUGGCUUGCUUUGACAGUGAUAAUGUUCAUACGGGGGUCUGUGUGAUUGACUUGGGAUAUUGGAAUGGUCAAAUAAAUCAUACCUGAUGGCCACACGUUUACUUGAGGCCUCCAGUAGACAUGAAGAGCACGGAGCAACGCUCCGGAGCGAUAUCCAACACACUGGGCAGGAAGGAGAGUAUCCAAAUCAAGUGUAAAAGGAUGCAAGCGGCGUGUUCAGAUCAGUGACUUCAAACUAGGACUACACCAAUCAGGAUCAAUGGAGGAUGGACACCUAAAGGCAUUCCACAAGGAGAGUCUGAAGUUGGAAAGGGACCUCGAUGGAUAUUCAAGAUGACCUUCAGACCUGUAAUGAGACGGCUCUUCCUACCUGGCUGGAUUGAUGGAGAGCCCUGUGGAUCUUGUCUUGCUCUCAGUUGCAUGUCUUCUCAGGCUGAACUGUAUUUGUUUCGGACAGGACCAAUCUGGGAACUCCAACUAGUGCGCUCUUCGAGCUGAAGUUGUGCUCUUCAGCUGAGGAGGUAAGGAAACCUUCACUGGGGCUUCAAGAUGUAAAGAGGAGACUGUUUCAAAGUGUUCCAUGGAACUCUGAUGAGGCCGUUGUUGUGUUCCACUGGCUGAGAGGAAGAACCCUCACAUCUUCCUCUUGGCCUUUCUCAUCUGAGAGUCCUGGCGCCAUCUUGAAGGAUAUUCCAGCGCAUGUAACUGAUGUCACAACAGAUUCUCAAACACUUGGUUUCUCCUGAGGGGCUUAUCUAUAGAACUGAAUACUUCAGACAGCACUGUAUCCCAGCAUGCAUCUCUGCUCACUCAGACCACGCCCUAAUGAGUAGGAUGCAACACUCUAGUGAUGGAGAUGUAGAGUUUAUAAGUAACGAGGGAGCAGACAAAGGUGAUUAGAACACGAUGGCAUGUCAAUUCUGUAAAUCUUUAAACCAUGAAGAUGGUUGGAUAGAUCAGGAAUUGGGCUUUAUUUUAUUAUGGGCAAUCCUUUCGCUCAAAUGCCCACUUCUUGCUGGACCUGUACAUGUGUUGGCUGGCUGGCAUGAUUUGCUGUUGGUGAUGAGUAGGUCAGGGUGACGUUGCAGGGCUAUGGUCGGCUCUCUGUGAGCUUAACUUUUAGAUUUGCUCUGUAUGGUUUGUACCAUGAAUAAUAAUUGUAAAAUGUAGACAUGGUUUUGUAUUGAAUGAUUCCAUUGUUUUUAGGCAAGGAUUUGUUGUUGUGGGAUGUACAUGGUAGUUUGGUUCUUCGUACAGUUUUGAUUGAUAUAACUUGUACACACUGGGUGCAUAAUAAUGUAAAAGUAUACUGAAUAGUAGUAAUUACCAACAGCAACAAACAGAUCUCCUCAAGGUAAGUCUGUUGGCUGUGUUUUAAUGUAGACCAUCGCUGGACUUCAGGAUCUUCCUCCGUUCAGCUCAAGGUGAGGCGCUGGUUGUUUUUUCUUUGGUUGGUUCCGGCCGGAAUGUUCGGAUUCCAGUCGGACGGUUUGUGCUUCCCGCCGUGGAAGGUUUUGAGUGCGGUCACUUGAUUUAGUCCCAAUGGUUAGCAUAGAACGUUGUAGUCUUGACACCCAUUAGAAGCCACCUGGCAGUUAGUUGGACAGGAAUCUGUCUGAACGUUCUGGAUUGUAUUUGCGUAACCUUGAGCCGUUGCCAACGGAAACUAUUUUUCAGUUUUCAUUGGGAAUUGUUGGCCCUUAUCUUAAACAACUUAAGUUUGAUAUUAAAUACAUACUGACGCGUACAUCGUACAAUAUGUUGAUAAUUUUCGAUGGUUGCGUCGUACUUUUAUCCACGUUGACGGGACUCUCGCUGCGUACAAAACGGUGUUCUACUUGCGGGCCCAUUUCUGACAUCAGUGAAGGCUGAAAAUCAUUUCACGGUGGAAGACAAUUUGACAUUUCUUCAACGGAAUCCAGCACCUGAAUAUGAAUGGGUAAAUUUGAUUUAAUAUCAAUACUGCUUAGUGUUCUUUGGUACUUCAGCUUUUGUACGUUCUAAAUAUCUGCGGUCAUUAAUUGCACAGAAGUUAAACUUUACCUAAAGGAAUGACGUUAAACAACGACUUUGGUGCUGAGUUACCAACUCGAUAAUAUCAAAGCUAAAAUAAUGGCCGUCCUUCCCACGUGUUCUGUACAAGGUUAAAAUGGUAACAUGUAGUUUGUCCCAAGGUGUCCACCUCCUCACCCAGAGUAAGACCUCCACCGCCUGUCACAAGUCCUCCAGAACAGCUGAAAGGCGAGGCUGAGAGGCUGGGGGCCGGAGGCUUGUGGUGCCAGGAUGGACCGGAGACUGAGGCUGGAGACCAGGGGCCUGCAGCACCAGAUCAGAGGACCAGGAAUCCAAGGCUGAAAGAGCUGAUGGAGGAGCCAUGCUGAAGGCCCUGCCUGGUGGAGGAGCUGACGGAGGCCCUGCCUGGUGGAGGAUGUCUGUCGUGGGGUAGAUGGAGCCUGACUCUGAAACCAGGACUCUGUCUGAGGAGAGCUGAUGGAGGAGCUGAGACGCUGGAGGACGACUAGGAAUCAACCAACAAGGAUUCCUCAAUGUGUUUCUGGAGCGGAGGUGAGCUGGUAGGGGAGCCAUGAAUCUGGAGGAUGACCAUCACUUUACCAACAAGGAUUACGUUGGGGCCAGACUUGCGCUGUUUGUUCCAGAUCAGGACUCUGGCUGAGGAGAGCUGAUGGAGGAGCCAAGACUCUCGAGGACGACAUCACUCCACCAACCAGGAUCCUCACCAGGAAUCUGGAGGACUGACGGAGAAGCCGUACAUCUGGAAGGCAAAUCCUGAGGGCGACCAGGACUCUACCAUCAAGGAUUCCACACACACCUGAGCUGAACCUCACCUGAUCCUGUCUGGGCGGGGGCAGACACACCUGAGCUGAACCCCACCUGAUCCGGACAUCCUGCUGGUCCCGUCUCCUCUGUUCAUCUGAGCCUCUUCCUCCAGAAGACCUGCUGAGCUCAGCGGUCUGAGGCUGAUGGAUCCAUGACCUCCAGUGGGAGUGAUCUUCUUGAUCCCACAUAUACCCAUGUGCUUCCACACGCCUUUCCCUCAAGUCUGUCACUAACUUCACUACUCUCUACUCCUUCCCCUUCUUCUUCCUUCUCCGUUCAAACCUUUACUCUGAAGGAGUGUCUCCUUGAACCUUUACACUGAAGGAGCGUCUUCCUGCCCUCAGAGGGUUCAGCGUUAGGGUUGAGAGUCAGGGUUUAGAGUCAGGGACAGAGCUGGUCAGUGAGUGCUGGUUUUACACAAACCUCUUCACUUGCUUUCUGAAUGGUGGUGACAUUUUGAAAAGAUUCAUUUGGGAAAAUGUUUUCCUCGGCUUUCCGUUGCAAAAAUAUGUAUUAAACUUCUGUGUUUGUAACCAGACCAGGAAUCCAUGGCUGAAGGAGCUGAUGGAGGAGCUGUGCUGAAGGAGCUGAUGGAGGAGCUGAUGGAGGCCCUGCCUGGUGGAGGAGCUGACGGAGGCCCUGCCUGGUGGAGGAUGUCUGUCGUGGGGUAGAUGGAGCCUGACUCUGAAACCAGGACUCUGUCUGAGGAGAGCUGAUGGAGGAGCUGAGACGCUGGAGGACGACUAGGAAUCAACCAACAAGGAUUCCUCAAUGUGUUUCUGGAGCGGAGACGAGCUGAUAGGGGAGCCGUGAAUCUGGAGGAUGACCAUCACUCUACCAACAAGGAUUAGACAAAUUACAUUUGUAACCAGACCAGGAAUCUGGAGGACUGACUAAGAAGCCGUACAUCUGGAAUGCAAAUCCUGAGGACGACCAGGACUCUACCAUCAACGAUUCCUCACACACCUGAGCUGAACCUCACCUGAUCCUGUCUGGGCGGGGGCAGACACACCUGAGCUGAACCCCACCUGAUCCGGACAUCCUGCUGGUCCCGUCUCCUCUGUUCAUCUGAGCCUCGUCCUCCAGAAGACCUGCUGAGCUCAGCGGUCUGAGGCUGAUGGAUGAAUGACCUCCAGUGGGAGUGAUCUUCUUGACCCCACAUGUACCCGUGUGCUUCCACACGCCUUUCCCUCAAGUCUGUCACUAACCUCACUACUUCACUUCUCUCUACUCCUUCCCCUUCUUCUUCCUUCUCCGUGGUUCGAACCGUUACUCUGAAGGAGUGUCUUCUUGAAUCUUUACACUGAAGGAGCGUCUUCCUGCCCUCAGAGGGUUCAGCGUUAGGGUUGAGAGUCAGGGUUUAGAGUCAGGGACAGAGCUGGUCAGGGAGGACUGCUUUUACACAAACCUCUUCACUUGCUUUCUGAAUGGUGACAUUUUGAAAAGAUUCAUCUGGGCAAAUGUUUUCCUCUGCUUUCCUUUACAAAAAUAUGUGUUUAACUUUUGUCAAUUGUUUUUGUUUAGAUAUUAAAAUCCCACAUUGACUUCUACAUUUUUGGUGCUGUUCAUUUAAUUGUCCUUUUAACUUGGUUAUUGUCAAGCUAAACUCCUGCAAUACACUUAAUAUACAUGAUGAAUGUUAUUCAGCAAUGUUCACAUAAUCGAUUUUCUAAAAAUAUAAAACAUCCAUAUUACUACU